rnacentral:tRNA from 1 species
AUUUAAAUAGUUUUAUAUAAAAUAUUGACUUGUGGAGCCAAGGAUGCAUUUAGUGCUUUAAAUA